GGAUGAUAUCAGCUGGUCUUAUCGGUCAUGGCAGAUACCAUCGCCAAGACAGCUUGCUACCAAAUUUAAUGUCAAAAUGUAUUAUUGCGAUUGAAAUCACCGAACAAAAGGAACACCUUGUGAUUACACCAUGUUCUCCACAUUUGUUCGCUCUACACUGUUUUUUUUUUUCAAUAACCAAGGAGUAAAUACUAAACCAUGUCAAAUCAAACGGAAGAUUGCUUGCCCUGCCGAUUAAUAAGUGGAUUUGGCGUAAUGGGCAUGGGGGCGUAUAUAUUUCAUCAAGCUGGGCGACGUAAACCCAUGGAAAGAAAUAUCAUGAAAAUCAUAUCCAUAAGUGCUGUCAUGCUGGGUGCUGCUCGGUUAUUAAACAUGGAGUUUUUAAAAUCAACAAAAAGUGACCAGUCAUAAUUCCAGUUUGCUACAAAACUAAUUUGUAAACACAUAUAUUUGUAAAUAUUAUUAAAUAAGAAGCUACUAUAAAAAAACGGAUUCUUAACAUUAA